ACAAAUUCAACACAACGUGUGUCACGGUGCUGUUCCCGGGUGGGGAGCCGGGACGACAAAACCUGCCAGAGCAUUAUAUGCAACGCAU
rnacentral:misc_RNA from 1 species